rnacentral:rRNA from 1 species
GAUGAACGCUGGCGGCGUGCCUAAUACAUGCAAGUCGAGCGAACGGACGAGAAGCUUGCUUCUCUGAUGUUAGCGGCGGACGGGUGAGUAACACGUGGAUAACCUACCUAUAAGACUGGGAUAACUUCGGGAAACCGGAGCUAAUACCGGAUAAUAUUUUGAACCGCAUGGUUCAAAAGUGAAAGACGGUCUUGCUGUCACUUAUAGAUGGAUCCGCGCUGCAUUAGCUAGUUGGUAAGGUAACGGCUUACCAAGGCAACGAUGCGUAGCCGACCUGAGAGGGUGAUCGGCCACACUGGAACUGAGACACGGUCCAGACUCCUACGGGAGGCAGCAGUAGGGAAUCUUCCGCAAUGGGCGAAAGCCUGACGGAGCAACACCGCGUGAGUGAUGAAGGUCUUCGGAUCGUAAAACUCUGUUAUUAGGGAAGAACAUAUGUGUAAGUAACUGUGCACAUCUUGACGGUACCUAAUCAGAAAGCCACGGCUAACUACGUG